rnacentral:miRNA from 1 species
UUGGCCCAAAAGUUCAUUCGGAUUUUUUUAGAGAUGUUACAGAAAGACCUGAGUGAACUUUUGGGUCAA